rnacentral:misc_RNA from 1 species
AGCAGCCGCGGUAAUUCCAGCUCCAAUAGCGUAUAUUAAAGUUGUUGCAGUUAAAAGCUCGUAGUUGAAUUUCGGGAUUAAUAUGUUGGUCGUGCCUUGGUACGUACUGGCAUUAUUGAUUCCUACCUUCUGAAGAACCUCGAUGUCAUUAAUUUGGUGUCUUGGGGAAUCAGGACCGUUACUUUGAAAAAUUAGAGUGUUUAAAGCAGGCUCGCGCUUGAAUACAUUAGCAUGGAAUAAUGAAAUAGGACGUUUGAUUCUAUUUUGUUGGUUUCUAGGAUCGACGUAAUGAUUAAUAGGGAUAGUUGGGGGCAUUAGUAUUCAAUUGUCAGAGGUGAAAUUCUUGGAUUUAUUGAAGACUGACUACUGCGAAAGCAUUUGCCAAGGAUGUUUUCAUUAAUCAAGAACGAAAGUUAGGGAUCGAAGACGAUCAGAUACCGUCGUAGUUCUUAACCAUAAACUAUGCCGACUAGGGAUCGGAUGAUGUUAAUUUUUUAAUGUACUCAUUCGGCGCCUUAAA